AGAGUGAACGCUGGCGGUAGGCCUAACACAUGCAAGUCGAACGGCAGCACAGUGGUAGCAAUACCAUGGGUGGCGAGUGGCGGACGGGUGAGGAAUACAUCGGAAUCUACCUUUUCGUGGGGGAUAACGUAGGGAAACUUACGCUAAUACCGCAUACGCCCUUCGGGGGAAAGCCGGGGAUCGCAAGACCUGGCGCGGAUAGAUGAGCCGAUGUCGGAUUAGCUAGUUGGUGAGGUAAUGGCUCACCAAGGCGACGAUCCGUAGCUGGUCUGAGAGGAUGAUCAGCCACACUGGAACUGAGACACGGGUCCAGACCUCCUACGGGAGCAGCAGUGGGAAUAUGGACAAUGGGCGCAAGCCUGAUCCAGCCAUACCGCGUGGGUGAAGAAGGCCUUGGUGUAAAGCCCGUUUGUAGGUAAACGAAAAGACCAAGUUCGGUUAACUACCCGGUUGUCUAGACGGUACCAAAG
rnacentral:rRNA from 1 species